rnacentral:rRNA from 1 species
GGACGAACGCCGGCGGCGUGGCUUAAACACACGCAAGUCGAAACGGUAAGGCCCUUUUCGGGGGUACACGAGCGGCGAAACGGGUGAGUAAACACGUGGGUGGUCCGCCCCGCACUUUGGGAUAAGCCCGGGAAACCGGGUCUAAUACCGAAAUAUUCCUUGCCGGUCGCAAGGCCCGGUGGGGGAAAGCUUUUCGCGGUGGGGGAUGGGCCCGCGGCCUAUCAGCUUGUUGGUGGGGUGAUGGCCUACCAAGGCGACGACGGGUAGCCGGCCUGAGAGGGUGUCCGGCCACACUGGGACUGAGAUACGGCCCAGACUCCUACGGGAGGCAGCAGUGGGGAAUAUGGCACAAUGGGGCGCAAGCCUGAUGCAGCGACGCCGCGUGAGGGAUGACGGCCUUCGGGUUGUAAACCUCUUUUAAUAGGGACGAAGCGCAAGUGACGGUACCUAUAGAAAAAGCACCAGCCAACUACGUGCCAGCAGCCGCGGUAAUACGUAGGGUGCGAGCGUUGUCCGGAAUUACUGGGCGUAAAGAGCUCGUAGGUGGUUUGUCGCGUUGUUCGUGAAAACCGGGGGCUUAACCCUCGGCGUGCGGGCGAUACGGGCAGACUGGAGUACUGCAGGGGAGACUGGAAUUCCUGGUGUAGCGGUGGAAUGCGCAGAUAUCAGGAGGAACACCGGUGGCGAAGGCGGGUCUCUGGGCAGUAACUGACGCUGAGGAGCGAAAGCGUGGGGAGCGAACAGGAUUAGAUACCCUGGUAGUCCACGCCGUAAACGGUGGGUACUAGGUGUGGGUUUCCUUCCUUGGGAUCCGUGCCGUAGCUAACGCAUUAAGUACCCCGCCUGGGGAGUACGGCCGCAAGGCUAAAACUCAAAGGAAUUGACGGGGGCCCGCACAAGCGGCGGAGCAUGUGGAUUAAUUCGAUGCAACGCGAAGAACCUUACCUGGGUUUGACAUGCACAGGACGUGUCUAGAGAUAGGCAUUCCCUUGUGGCCUGUGUGCAGGUGGUGCAUGGCUGUCGUCAGCUCGUGUCGUGAGAUGUUGGGUUAAGUCCCGCAACGAGCGCAACCCUUGUCUCAUGUUGCCAGCACGUAAUGGUGGGGACUCGUGAGAGACUGCCGGGGUCAACUCGGAGGAAGGUGGGGAUGACGUCAAGUCAUCAUGCCCCUUAUGUCCAGGGCUUCACACAUGCUACAAUGGCCGGUACAAAGGGCUGCGAUGCCGUGAGGUGGAGCGAAUCCUUUUAAAGCCGGUCUCAGUUCGGAUCGGGGUCUGCAACUCGACCCCGUGAAGUCGGAGUCGCUAGUAAUCGCAGAUCAGCAACGCUGCGGUGAAUACGUUCCCGGGCCU